AACGAACGCUGGCGGCAUGCCUAACACAUGCAAGUCGAACGAGACCUUCGGGUCUAGUGGCGCACGGGUGCGUAACGCGUGGGAACCUGCCCUUAGGUUCGGAAUAACUCCCCGAAAGGGGUGCUAAUACCGGAUAAUGUCUUCGGACCAAAGAUUUAUCGCCUUUGGAUGGGCCCGCGUUGGAGUAGCUAGUUGGUAGGGUAAAAGCCUACCAAGGCGACGAUCCAUAGCUGGUCUGAGAGGAUGAUCAGCCACACUGGGACUGGGACGCGGCCCAGACGCCUACGGGAGGCAGCAGUGGGGAAUGUUGGACAGUGGGCGAAAGCCUGAUCCAGCACUGCCGCGUGAGUGAUGAAGGCGUUAGGGUUGUAAAGCUCUUUUACCCGGGAUGAUAAUGACAGUACCGGGAGAAUAAGCGCCGGCUAACUCCGUG
rnacentral:rRNA from 1 species